rnacentral:rRNA from 1 species
GAUGAACGCUGGCGGCGUGCCUAAUACAUGCAAGUCGAGCGAACAGACGAGGAGCUUGCUCCCCUGACGUUAGCGGCGGACGGGUGAGUAACACGUGGAUAACCUACCUAUAAGACUGGGAUAACUUCGGGAAACCGGAGCUAAUACCGGAUAAUAUAUUGAACCGCAUGGUUCAAUAGUGAAAGACGGUUUUGCUGUCACUUAUAGAUGGAUCCGCGCCGCAUUAGCUAGUUGGUAAGGUAACGGCUUACCAAGGCAACGAUGCGUAGCCGACCUGAGAGAGUGAUCGGCCACACUGGAACUGAGACACGGUCCAGACUCCUGCGGGAGGCAGCAGUAGGGAAUCUUCCGCAAUGGGCGAAAGCCUGACGGAGCAACGCCGCGUGAGUGAUGAAGGUCUUCGGAUCGUAAAACUCUGUUAUUAGGGAAGAACAAAUGUAUAAGUAACUAUGCACGUCUUGACGGUACCUAAUCAGAAAGCCACGGCUAACUACGUG